CUGCUACGGACUAAAGGUUUAGCUUCUGGUUUGAUUGGAGAACAAGCUCUUACGGUGUUUGCCGUACGGUGCAAGGUGUACGGUGUUUGGCCUAUUGUAUAAGGUGUUUGAUGUUGACAACGGCGUCAGUGAAGUGAAUGCUGCACUGAAAUAAAUCAUGGGAAAACA